UACGGGGGAGGCAAGCGUUGUUCGGAAUCACUGGGCUUAAAGGGUGCGUAGGCGGGCCGGUUGGUGCUUUGUGAAAGCCCUCAGCUUAACUGAGGAACGGCAGGGCAUACCGCUGGUCUUGAGGUCGGCAGAGGAACCUGGAACUUUGGGUGGAGCGGUGAAAUGCGUAGAUAUCCAAGGGAACGCCGGUGGCGAAAGCGGGGUUCUGGGCCGAUUCUGACGCUGAGGCACGAAAGCGUGGGGAGCAAACAGG
rnacentral:rRNA from 1 species